UGCAAGUCGAGGGGCAGCAUGUAACUUAGCCUUGCUAAGUUUGAUGGCGACCGGCGCACGGGUGAGUAACACGUAUCCAACCUGCCGAUGACUCGGGGAUAGCCUUUCGAAAGAAAGAUUAAUACCCGAUGGCAUANUUCUUCCGCAUGGUAGAANUAUUAAAGAAUUUCGGUCAUCGAUGGGGAUGCGUUCCAUUAGGUUGUUGGCGGGGUAACGGCCCACCAAGCCUUCGAUGGAUAGGGGUUCUGAGAGGAAGGUCCCCCACAUUGGAACUGAGACACGGUCCAAACUCCUACGGGAGGCAGCAGUGAGGAAUAUUGGUCAAUGGACGAGAGUCUGAACCAGCCAAGUAGCGUGAAGGAUGACUGCCCUAUGGGUUGUAAACUUCUUUUAUACGGGAAUAAAGUGAGGCACGUGUGCCUUUUUGUAUGUACCGUAUGAAUAAGGAUCGGCUAACUCCGUGCCAGCAGCCGCGGUAAUACGGAGGAUCCGAGCGUUAUCCGGAUUUAUUGGGUUUAAAGGGAGCGUAGGCGGACGCUUAAGUCAGUUGUGAAAGUUUGCGGCUCAACCGUAAAAUUGCAGUUGAUACUGGGUGUCUUGAGUACAGUAGAGGCAGGCGGAAUUCGUGGUGUAGCGGUGAAAUGCUUAGAUAUCACGAAGAACUCCGAUUGCGAAGGCAGCUUGCUGGACUGUAACUGACGCUGAUGCUCGAAAGUGUGGGUAUCAAACAGGAUUAGAUACCCUGGUAGUCCACACAGUAAACGAUGAAUACUCGCUGUUUGCGAUAUACAGUAAGCGGCCAAGCGAAAGCGUUAAGUAUUCCACCUGGGGAGUACGCCGGCAACGGUGAAACUCAAAGGAAUUGACGGGGGCCCGCACAAGCGGAGGAACAUGUGGUUUAAUUCGAUGAUACGCGAGGAACCUUACCCGGGCUUGAAUUGCAACUGAAUGAUGUGGAGACAUGUCAGCCGCAAGGCAGUUGUGAAGGUGCUGCAUGGUUGUCGUCAGCUCGUGCCGUGAGGUGUCGGCUUAAGUGCCAUAACGAGCGCAACCCUUAUCGAUAGUUACCAUCAGGUUAUGCUGGGGACUCUGUCGAGACUGCCGUCGUAAGAUGUGAGGAAGGUGGGGAUGACGUCAAAUCAGCACGGCCCUUACGUCCGGGGCUACACACGUGUUACAAUGGGGGGUACAGAAGGCAGCUACACGGCGACGUGAUGCUAAUCCCUAAAGCCUCUCUCAGUUCGGAUUGGAGUCUGCAACCCGACUCCAUGAAGCUGGAUUCGCUAGUAAUCGCGCAUCAGCCACGGCGCGGUGAAUACGUUCCCGGGCCUUGUACACACCGCCCGUCAAGCCAUGAAAGCCGGGGGUACCUGAAGUGCGUAACCGCAAGAG
rnacentral:rRNA from 1 species